rnacentral:rRNA from 1 species
GGAUUAGAAACCCGGGUAGUCCACGCCCUAAACGAUGAUUACUCGACGUGCGCGAUACACAGUGCGCGUCUGGGCGAAAGCAUUAAGUAAUCCACCUGGGAAGUACGACCGCAAGGUUGAAACUCAAAGGAAUUGGCGGGGGUCCGCACAAGCGGUGGAGUAUGUGGUUUAAUUCGAUGAUACGCGAGGAACCUUACCUGGGCUAGAAUGCGAAUGACCGGCCCUGAAAGGGAUUUUUCUAGCAAUAGACAUGAAGCAAGGUGCUGCAUGGCUGUCGUCAGCUCGUGCCGUGAGGUGUUGGGUUAAGUCCCCG